ACUCCGUGAAGCUGGAUUCGCUAGUAAUCGCGCAUCAGCCAUGGCGCGGUGAAUACGUUCCCGGGCCUUGUACACACCGCCCGUCAAGCCAUGGGAGCCGGGGGUGCUUGAAGUGCGUCGCCGCAAGGCGCGCCCUAGAGCAAAACCGGUGACUGGGGCUAAGUCGUAACAAGGUAAC
rnacentral:rRNA from 1 species